rnacentral:rRNA from 1 species
UCGCUCAACGGAUAAAAGGUACUCCGGGGAUAACAGGCUGAUACCGCCCAAGAGUUCAUAUCGACGGCGGUGUUUGGCACCUCGAUGUCGGCUCAUCACAUCCUGGGGCUGAAGUAGGUCCCAAGGGUAUGGCUGUUCGCCAUUUAAAGUGGUACGCGAGCUGGGUUUAGAACGUCGUGAGACAGUUCGGUCCCUAUCUGCCGUGGGCGCUGGAGAACUGAGGGGGGCUGCUCCUAGUACGAGAGGACCGGAGUGGACGCAUCACUGGUGUUCGGGUUGUCAUGCCAAUGGCACUGCCCGGUAGCUAAAUGCGGAAGAGAUAAGUGCUGAAAGCAUCUAAGCACGAAACUUGCCCCGAGAUGAGUUCUCCCUGAGACUUUAGGUCUCCUGAAGGAACGUUGAAGACGACGACGUUGAUAGGCCGGGUGUGUAAGCGCAGCGAUGCGUUGAGCUAACCGGUACUAAUGAACCGUGAGGCUUAACCUUACA